rnacentral:rRNA from 1 species
UACGUAGGUGACAAGCGUUGUCCGGAUUUACUGGGCGUAAAGAGCGCGCAGGCGGUCGAUCAAGUCGAGUGUGAAAGCCCCCGGCUCAACUGGGGAGGGUCAUUCGAUACUGAUCGACUCGAAGGCAGGAGAGGGUAGUGGAAUUCCCGGUGUAGUGGUGAAAUGCGUAGAUAUCUGGAGGAAUACCGGUGGCGAAGGCGGCAUCCUGGACCGAGAUUGACACUGAUGAGCGAAAGCUAGGGGAGCAAACGGG